rnacentral:rRNA from 1 species
GAUGAACGCUGGCGGCGUGCCUAAUACAUGCAAGUCGAGCGAACGGACGAGAAGCUUGCUUCUCUGAUGUUAGCGGCGGACGGGUGAGUAACACGUGGAUAACCUACCUAUAAGACUGGGAUAACUUCGGGAAACCGGAGCUAAUACCGGAUAAUAUUUUGAACCGCAUGGUUCAAAAGUAAAAGACGGUCUUGCUGUCACUUAUAGAUGGAUCCGCGCUGCAUUAGCUAGUUGGUAAGGUAACGGCUUACCAAGGCAACGAUGCAUAGCCGACCUGAGAGGGUGAUCGGCCACACUGGAACUGAGACACGGUCCAGACUCCUACGGGAGGCAGCAGUAGGGAAUCUUCCGCAAUGGGCGAAAGCCUGACGGAGCAACGCCGCGUGAGUGAUGAAGGUCUUCGGAUCGUAAAACUCUGUUAUUAGGGAAGAAUAUAUGUGUAAGUAACUGUGCACAUCUUGACGGUACCUAAUCAGAAAGCCACGGCUAACUACGUGCCAGCAGCCGCGGUAAUACGUAGGUGGCAAGCGUUAUCCGGAAUUAUUGGGCGUAAAGCGCGCGUAGGCGGUUUUUUAAGUCUGAUGUGAAAGCCCACGGCUCAACCGUGGAGGGUCAUUGGAAACUGGAAAACUUGAGUGCAGAAGAGGAAAGUGGAAUUCCAUGUGUAGCGGUGAAAUGCGCAGAGAUAUGGAGGAACACCAGUGGCGAAGGCGACUUUCUGGUCUGUAACUGACGCUGAUGUGCGAAAGCGUGGGGAUCAAACAGGAUUAGAUACCCUGGUAGUCCACGCCGUAAACGAUGAGUGCUAAGUGUUAGGGGGUUUCCGCCCCUUAGUGCUGCAGCUAACGCAUUAAGCACUCCGCCUGGGGAGUACGACCGCAAGGUUGAAACUCAAAGGAAUUGACGGGGACCCGCACAAGCGGUGGAGCAUGUGGUUUAAUUCGAAGCAACGCGAAGAACCUUACCAAAUCUUGACAUCCUUUGACAACUCUAGAGAUAGAGCCUUCCCCUUCGGGGGACAAAGUGACAGGUGGUGCAUGGUUGUCGUCAGCUCGUGUCGUGAGAUGUUGGGUUAAGUCCCGCAACGAGCGCAACCCUUAAGCUUAGUUGCCAUCAUUAAGUUGGGCACUCUAAGUUGACUGCCGGUGACAAACCGGAGGAAGGUGGGGAUGACGUCAAAUCAUCAUGCCCCUUAUGAUUUGGGCUAUACACGUGCUACAAUGGACAAUACAAAGGGCAGCGAAACCGCGAGGUCAAGCAAAUCCCAUAAAGUUGUUCUCAGUUCGGAUUGUAGUCUGCAACUCGACUACAUGAAGCUGGAAUCGCUAGUAAUCGUAGAUCAGCAUGCUACGGUGAAUACGUUCCCGGGUCU